rnacentral:rRNA from 1 species
AUGAACGCUGGCGGCGUGCCUAAUACAUGCAAGUCGAGCGAACGGACGAGAAGCUUGCUUUUCUGAUGUUAGCGGCGGACGGGUGAGUAACACGUGGAUAACCUACCUAUAAGACUGGGAUAACUUCGGGAAACCGGAGCUAAUACCGGAUAAUAUUUUGAACCGCAUGGUUCAAAAGUGAAAGACGGUCUUGCUGUCACUUAUAGAUGGAUCCGCGCUGCAUUAGCUAGUUGGUAAGGUAACGGCUUACCAAGGCAACGAUGCAUAGCCGACCUGAGAGGGUGAUCGGCCACACUGGAACUGAGACACGGUCCAGACUCCUACGGGAGGCAGCAGUAGGGAAUCUUCCGCAAUGGGCGAAAGCCUGACGGAGCAACGCCGCGUGAGUGAUGAAGGUCUUCGGAUCGUAAAACUCUGUUACUAGGGAAGAACAUAUGUGUAAGUAACUGUGCACAUCUUGACGGUACCUAAUCAGAAAGCCACGGCUAACUACGUG